UUUUAUCAUAAAGAUCAUUUAAGCAGAGUUUUUGAUGUAAGUAAUUGCAUGAAAUUUUGUCUAGAAUCUGGAUCAAAAAAUUUGGGGUUUUAAAAAGUUUUUUAAAUUAGUGUUAGAUUGUAUGACUUUAGAGUAUUGCUAACUUCGUAGAAGUGUUUAUUUUGCUUAAUGCUCAAAGUGUUCAUCAUACAGGUUUACGGAUGAAAAUUGAAAAUGUUAUUAAAUACAUGAAGUACUAUGGAAUCAUUACAGCUCAUUAGAUGAUUAAGAAUGCUAUAUUAAAUAAGUCUGUAUUCAGAGUUUUUUUAUUGAAAGAGAGUGGAGUUUUGAAUAAAUUUAUUAUAAAUGUUUUGAAAUGCUAAAAAAUGAAAUUUACAAUUAAGAAAAGAAAAUAUAUGUGUAUCAGGUACUAAUUAAUACUUUGUCCUCAGGAAGAGAGCCUCACAGAAUAGUUCAAAGAGAUGACUGGGUACAAAAGGGCAAAAAGGUCAUGAAAAUCUUUCAUAACAACUUUGCGAGGAGAGCUGUUUCUGUCAUAUCAGCCAUGUGGCUGAAAGUACAAUGAGAAUGGAGAAAAGAGUGAAGAUUGGGUCCUUUAAAAUAUGAACUUAAGGUACCACACUGAAGUAUUAUCUAAGAAUAAGUGAGACCAUACAAGGCUCAGAAAAAACCUCUUUGUUAAGAGUUGAUAAAAUGCAAAAAAUAAAAACCAAGACACAUCAUGUACAGUGACUCGGGAACUCCAUCUGAGGUUAGCAGCACAGCGAGACCUAGUAUUCCUCAGCCUCCUCAUUAUGCUCCUCAGACAGCUUUAAGCCCUGAAGAACAUGCUCAGAGUGGAACUUGCUACUCCUCUAACUCACAACUUAUCCUGCCCCUAAGAAAAGGUGGCUGGAUGUACCUGGCAUAUGGCACUAGAAGAUCGAUUAUCUUCACUCUCAGAAAGAGGCUAGUACAGAAAAAACCCACAUUUCACACUGUGAUGAAGUCUGAAGGGGUCCAGCGCAACACACAAUGCCCCUGUCCACAGGCAUCAUAACCUCCCAUGAGGAAUUCUGGGUGAACUUGGACAUCAUGGGAGCAAGGGAUGUCUUUCCAUUUUCUUGUAUCCUCUUGGCUGUACAGAGAAGAGGCCAGAGGAGUGUGUGGGGCUGGUGUCCAGUGGAUUGCUGCCAGGGCACGGGCUGAUUCAGCAUGUUCUGCGAGACUCGUGACCUUGGUAGGGCCAAGUUGUUUUUAUUUUAAAAUACUUAUCUGACAAUGACUCCGUAUACAGUGUGAUGAAUUGUACAUUGUGUAAUAAUCACUUAAAAUAAGUAGCAUAUUUACAAUGCUCUAAUUAGAUCCUGCUAGUAAAAAUCAAAUACAAAGAAUGCUCCAUGUGAAUUUAUGCAAUUGAUAUGUAUUCAUAGUCUGCUGUAUUUGGAGUUUUAUGGAGUAUAUAUGGUCCAUACAUUGAAUCAAAACAUUUUCUUACACAAUGCAUUGAAAGAAUGUAGGAGUAUCAAGAGCAAAGCACGUAAUAUCAGACAGAUUUUAAUCUCCUUGCUAGAGCCUGUUAACUGAAGACAUGUUUCAUAUAGAUAAAAUACAAGCAUCCCACAACCUCUGAUUAAAAAUAUUAGGUUAUAGGCAUUUCCACUUGACACAGAGAAAGAAACAAAAUAAUGACUCAUUUUAAAAUGUGAAAUUUAUGCUUGAUUUUUCAAAUUUUGAUAAAAUACAUAUAACAAAAUUUACAAUCUCAACAUUUUUUACUUGUACACUUCAGUGGCUUUAAGUUCAUUCACACUGUUUUUCAAUCAUCAUCAUUAUAUAUCACCAGAACUCUUUCCAUAUUGCCAAAAUGAGCUUAGGACCCAUUAAUCCAUACUUUUAAUGACACUUAAAAUAUUAAACCACUUCUCCACUGUUGGAUAUUAAAGUUCCUUAUAAUUGUUUUAUUGUUAUGACAAACAAUGUUUUGAUAAGUAUAUUUAUUCACAUGAUUUUAUAUAUUAUUGCCCCUAUUUCUAUUAGCUAGAUUCUCAUAAGUGGGAAUUGUACAGUUAUAUUGGUAAAAGUAUUGUUACAUAUUAACAUAUGCUGACCAUAUUAACAGAUCUGUUUCAAAAAUCUUGUAGCAGUUUAGUUUUUACCAACAACAAAAAAAUAAAUUAUACAAAAUGGCUGAUGACUAGCCAAAAUAGAAAUUAUCAAAUUUGAUUAAAAAGAAAAGUAGAAAAACAAUGGCCAUAGAACAGAUUGCAGAAUAAAUAUGCAUAGGAUAUUUAAAGAAAACCAAUUACAGCUCAUUUUAUAGUUAAAUAACCUCUAUAUAUGAUCAAUGUCAUUCAAUUAUAAGAAUAAAUUUUCAAACAUAAAAAUCUACCUCAAUAAUUUUUUAUAAAAGAUAUAUUUUAUGAGUCCAGCUGAUCUUUUCAUACCAUACCUAAUUUUUGGAUUGAUGGUUAGUCUACGUACCAGUACAACUUGGGCGCAUAUUGACACAAUUAUUUGUGUGUAUGUGUGUCUGGAAAGGGUGAGAGAAUAGGCAGAUUUCAGGAGCAGGGAUAAAUGUUACCUAGUAAGGAUUUAGAAAGUGUUGCUCAAUAGAAGAUGAUUACUUUCUAGUUUAGAAUGCUGAAAAAACAUAUUGCAGAUACUGUCCACUAUAUUUAAUAUAUUUUUAUUCCUCUCUGAGAUGUUUUUACAGAAAUAAAAACUAUGGAGAUCAGUUAUCUACAGAUGAAGAAAACUCAGCUGAUGUUUGAGGAAAAUUCUCUUUUCUGAAGUGCAAAUAUAAAGCAAUACAUCAAUUUACAAUCCAUAUCAAUGUAUGAUGUAGAUUUUGUUUUUUAAAUAUCUUGUAUCUCCAAGUCCAUUUCCCAUGACUCUGAAUGCACUUAAUACACAAGAAAUUCCUGUGAGAGCUGAUGGGAUUCUUCUUGCAUACUUUUCAGUAAGGCCUGUUAAUCUAUAUUUCUCUUGCAUACUUCUCAAUAAUUCAUGUUAAUAUAUGCAAAUAAUAGGUAACAAUAACUAUGUUUCAACUUUGUUUUUAAAUUAAUCAUUAUGUUCAUUCUUUGCAAUAUAUACCAGUGCCUAUAUUAAUUUUCAUUAAAUUACAAGGCAAAAUAUUUUCAUUUUCCAUUUGGUUUUUGUAUUCCUUAAUAUUUCU
rnacentral:lncRNA from 1 species